rnacentral:rRNA from 1 species
GUAGUUUGGCAAUAAUGUAUAAGUUCACAUGUGAUGAGAUGUAGCUAAUGCAUAUAUUGUGAAUGCAGAAUCCCGUGAAUCAUUCAUGUUUGAUGUGUCUUGCAUCUUU